GACGAACGCUGGCGGCGUGCCUAAUACAUGCAAGUAGAACGCACAGUUUAUACCGUAGCUUGCUACACCAUAGACUGUGAGUUGCGAACGGGUGAGUAACGCGUAGGUAACCUGCCUGGUAGCGGGGGAUAACUAUUGGAAACGAUAGCUAAUACCGCAUAAUAUUAAUUAUUGCAUGAUAAUUAAUUGAAAGGUGCAAUUGCACCACUACCAGAUGGACCUGCGUUGUAUUAGCUAGUAGGUGAGGUAACGGCUCACCUAGGCGACGAUAAAUAGCCGACCGGAGGUGGUGGGCAGCCACACUGAGAGUGAGACCCGGCACAGUCGCCUACAGGAGGCAGCAGUAGGGAAACUUCGGGAAGGGGCGGAAGUCAGACCGAGAAACGCCGCAGGAGUAAAGAAGGUUUUCGGGUCGUAAAGCACUGUUGUAAGGGAAUAACGGGUGUGAGAGUGGAAAGUUCACACUGUGACGGUAUCUGAUCAGAAAGGAACGGCUAACUACGUG
rnacentral:rRNA from 1 species